GUGCCAGCCGCCGCGGUAAUACGAAGGGUGCAAGCGUUAAUCGGAAUUACUGGGCGUAAAGCGUGCGUAGAUGGUUCAUUAAGUCGGAUGUGAAAGCCCCGGGCUCAACCUGGGAACUGCAUCCGAUACUGGUGGACUAGAGUGCGGUAGAGGAUGGCGGAAUUCCCGGUGUAGCGGUGAAAUGCGUAGAGAUCGGGAGGAACAUCCGUGGCGAAGGCGGCCAUCUGGACCAGCACUGACGUUGAGGCACGAAAGCGUGGGGAGCAAACAGGAUUAGAAACCCCUGUAGUCC
rnacentral:rRNA from 1 species